rnacentral:rRNA from 1 species
GACGAACGCUGGCGGCGUGCUUAACACAUGCAAGUCGAUCGGAAAGGCCCUGCUUUUGUGGGGUGCUCGAGUGGCGAACGGGUGAGUAACACGUGAGUAACCUGCCCUUGACUUUGGGAUAACUUCAGGAAACUGGGGCUAAUACCGGAUAGGAGCUCCUGCUGCAUGGUGGGGGUUGGAAAGUUUCGGCGGUUGGGGAUGGACUCGCGGCUUAUCAGCUUGUUGGUGGGGUAGUGGCUUACCAAGGCUUUGACGGGUAGCCGGCCUGAGAGGGUGACCGGCCACAUUGGGACUGAGAUACGGCCCAGACUCCUACGGGAGGCAGCAGUGGGGAAUAUUGCACAAUGGGCGGAAGCCUGAUGCAGCAACGCCGCGUGCGGGAUGACGGCCUUCGGGUUGUAAACCGCUUUCGCCUGUGACGAAGCGUGAGUGACGGUAAUGGGUAAAGAAGCACCGGCUAACUACGUGCCAGCAGCCGCGGUGAUACGUAGGGUGCGAGCGUUGUCCGGAUUUAUUGGGCGUAAAGGGCUCGUAGGUGGUUGAUCGCGUCGGAAGUGUAAUCUUGGGGCUUAACCCUGAGCGUGCUUUCGAUACGGGUUGACUUGAGGAAGGUAGGGGAGAAUGGAAUUCCUGGUGGAGCGGUGGAAUGCGCAGAUAUCAGGAGGAACACCAGUGGCGAAGGCGGUUCUCUGGGCCUUUCCUGACGCUGAGGAGCGAAAGCAUGGGGAGCGAACAGGCUUAGAUACCCUGGUAGUCCACGCUGUAAACGGUGGGUACUAGGUGUGGGGUCCAUUCCACGGGUUCCGUGCCGUAGCUAACGCUUUAAGUACCCCGCCUGGGGAGUACGGCCGCAAGGCUAAAACUCAAAGGAAUUGACGGGGCCCCGCACAAGCGGCGGAGCAUGCGGAUUAAUUCGAUGCAACGCGUAGAACCUUACCUGGGUUUGACAUGGAUCGGGAGUGCUCAGAGAUGGGUGUGCCUCUUUUGGGGUCGGUUCACAGGUGGUGCAUGGCUGUCGUCAGCUCGUGUCGUGAGAUGUUGGGUUAAGUCCCGCAACGAGCGCAACCCUUGUUCACUGUUGCCAGCACGUUAUGGUGGGGACUCAGUGGAGACCGCCGGGGUCAACUCGGAGGAAGGUGGGGAUGACGUCAAGUCAUCAUGCCCCUUAUGUCCAGGGCUUCACGCAUGCUACAAUGGCUGGUACAGAGAGUGGCGAGCCUGUGAGGGUGAGCGAAUCUCGGAAAGUCGGUCUCAGUUCGGAUUGGGGUCUGCAACUCGACCUCAUGAAGUCGGAGUCGCUAGUAAUCGCAGAUCAGCAACGCUGCGGAGAAUACGUUCCCGGGGCU